UGUCAGCAAACGGAAGUUGCCUUUCUAAAAUGAGCGGUGUCAUCCGGGUAUUUUGUAGCAGCUGUUUCACUUCGAGGACGGGCCGACUUUACGGUUUCGUCGGCAACUCAGCGUUUUUUUUUUUAAACUAUUACUACAAAUGUAAGACUUUGAAAGUCCAAUAACUGAUAUAUGUGUGUAUAUAGAGCAAGGUAAUCGCAGCAACAAAUGUCAAAAAUGUUAUAGCGUUUGUUCGCCGCUAGAGGACAGCCUAACAGCAGAUGAACAGCUCAGUGCGAAAUGUCGUGAAGAAAAUGGCUAACCAUCAAUUACGCUGUCUGGCUUCCAAAAGUUCAGCACCUGGAUUUAAUUAAGCAGAUAUAGAAACAUCAACUGCAUGUAUUUACAUCAUCAUUGGAGAUUGUCCACCGCAAAAGAAGAGUACGCACAGUUUCCCUUGGACUAUCCUGGUAAACAGCAAGAGUCAGCCUGGAGCGGCCCGGUUGAGCUAUAGAAUCUCGACUUUUUGUGAACAGACAAGUUCGCUGUUGACCAGAUUCCACAUGUGCCGAACGUCUUAAAGGCAUUAUGUUUGAUUGGAGCCACCUGAAGGACUUCCAGGCACAUCCCUAAGAAGACGUCGUCGAUGGGGUACAACUCGAGGGUAUCUGCAACCCAAUAGAGCUUCCUUGCCAGGUUCCCGUCCAUCAGAAACCCCCCGCCUCCUGCGUAGGGAGGGUAAUGGGUCUUAUUGUACAAAGCCUGCGGGAUGUAGUACUUAUUCUCCCUUUUUCGGAUCGGCUUUGCCCUAAAAAUCACGUCCCCGACAAAGAGGUUCUUUGCAGGGUCAGUGCUGUCGAGGAACUCAAAAAUGUUCUCCACACUGACAAAAACAUCAUCGUCCCCCUUGAAGAUGUAGCGAACACUCGGGCAGUAGGUGUGGAACCAUUUGAGGAAGUGUGUCUCCUUCAGCGUGAGAUUGAAGAAGCUAUCCAAGAAGUCCCACUGAAGGAUAUCGCCAUAGAUGUGGUUUUCAUACUCCAAAAGCUUUUGAUGGUUGGCCCCCUCAGCCUGGUUGGAUGAUUUAGCAAGAAGGAAAAGCGUCUUUAUCCUCUUGCCGCUUACGACUCGCUCCUUGCCCCACGUUUUUCGAAUGACUUCUCUACGAUCAUGCUGGGUUGCCACAGAUUUGAUCACCAUGAGCAAAUAAAUCUCCCCCGAGCAUUUCUCCGGGUGGUUUUGAAGUAUUGGGAAGUAUCGGCAGUGUCUGUAAAGCAUAAAUUGCUUGAAUGUGUCCUCCAGACUCCGAAACCAAUCCAGGCCUGAAAGAUUGUGGUUGGCGCUACAGUUGGUGGUGGUUACGUCCCAGGUUGUGGCACUAUGUUCUUCAGUGACACUAGGCUCCUGGGUGGUGGAUCGACCUCGAUGAAGCGGCUGGUGCUUGAUCGGCUUCCAAAAGCCUUUCAACCCCUGAGAGGAGUGCGUCUUCACUUGAAUGGCAGCUCCGGACUCCACGUCAGAGGCAUCCAUUCGAGCCUGCCGCUGGAGUUCAAAUGGAGCCCCCAUGUUGAUGCUCCCUCUCUGGACAAUAGUGAGCGCCACCACUGCCAGGAAGAACAUGACACUCACCCUCUUGUACACCUUCCAGCAAUCUCUGUUGUUAAUCCUGGUCAACACAAAGAGAAGAGAUAACUGAUCAGAUCAACAGCUUUAAUUAAAAAAAACAAUAUGUGAGGCACUUAUUGGGACAACCACUAAGAUAUGUUACCUAAGGUCCAUUGUUCAAAAGACCUAAACAUUUUCAUUGGUAUAAAUCCUUAAGUUACAUCACAAUUUCAUUUAUGUUCAAACUUAAUUGGUUUGUUUGCGACUUAUAAAGAUACAACGGCUUUCUCACUACAGCGGAAUCCUGCCAAAUUUUGUGGAACUGUACCAAAACCACUUUUUGUUAGGGGAUUAGUGGGCUUGGGCUGCCCCUUAGUUUGAUUACUGUGUUCACACCUCACCAAACAAUGGGGAACUUUAGUGUGAUUAUAAAAGUUAAAGUACCAAUGAUUGUCACACACACUAACCACAAGACAGGAAUAACAUACCAAAGUGUAUCAGUGUGACAUUGAAAACAUUUAUAGCAAGUAAUUGAUCCUGUCAAGGAUCAAGGGUGGGCAGGGGCCUAUCCUGGCCACCUUUGGGCAAGAGGGGGUGCACCCUGGACUGGUCACAGGACAAAAACAGACAACUAGAGACAAAUAUUUACCGCCGUGGUUUGUUAUUUAGCAACCUAACUUUAAAAGUUAUGGGCGGAUUUCGAUAAAACUAUCAGGAAAUGUUCAAAAUGGAAGAAAGAAAGUGAUUAGAUUUUGAGGGUGAUUAGCAUAAUUUCUACUAGCGGUAGAAAAUGAAUGGAUGGAUAUCUGACAGUUACAUCACAAUUACAGCUGCCCCGCCUCCACCCAUAGUGACAAACAAUGGAUUAAAGGCCAAAGCGUCCUCGCUAUUUAUUGAAUUCCGCUACAGAUAGCUCAAAAUGAGCAGAUUUGGAUUGAAUCAAUCAAUCAAUGUUUAUUUAUAUAGCCCAAAAUCACAGGUGUCUCAAAGGGGCUACACAAGCCACAACGACAUCCUCGGUUCAGAGCCCACAAAAAGGCAAGGAAAAACUCACAACUCAGUGGGACGUCUAUGUGAAUGACUGAGGAACCUUGGAGAGGACCCC